UACUUGGGGCAUAGGAGCUAUGAGAGAGCAACCUAGCACCACCCUACCAUGUCUCUGCUUCUCCAGACUAUUGUUCUCACACUGAAGAUCAUUCUUUGAAGUGAAGGCAGAAAUGAAAUAAAUUGGAUAGUUCUUUCUCUCAGUCUUCUGUUAACAUUGUUGCCAUAAUUCCAAACUGCUGUGCUGGCUCCUAUUUGAUGCCCUGAAUUUUUGUCGACUACUCAUUUUCUCUUUUGUCUUGGGUGGGAGAAGACAAGAUAAGGGCUUGAAGUGAAUGAAAAGGAGAUUGAAAAGUUAAUUGGGAAAGUUUGGGACUUGUAAAGAAAGUCAGACAUUGUACCCAGGGAAGAAACAAAGAAAAACUGGAUGAGAGAAGGGCUUAAUAAGAAGGAACAGCAAGGACCUGACUUGAAGGACUCAAGAAGAAGUAAAAGGAAGAAAGGUCUACUCUAACAAGAUUAACAGGUCAGUUUCUCCAGUUCAGAAAAACAAGUAUUAUUUUUUGUGUGGACACCCAAAGAAGUGAGAUUCAAUUUCCCAAGGAUAAAGGUAACCAGGUUGUCCCCAUUUAAUCAUGAGACCUGGAAGCAGCUUUCCAAAAAUAAAAAAAGACUAAAAACAACAACAACAACACAGAGGGAUAGGCUCAUCUUGAUCCACUGAAGGGUAAUCCUAUGACCUAACAUAAAACAACAAGGGUCCAAGAACAUGAAGACAAAGGAUGCAACCAGGCAAGUUGCUGAAAUGUUGGGAAGGAGCAGAUGGUCUUCAGACUUCUACAUAAGAAGAAAGAAGAUCAAUCGUGAUUCUUUAAGAGACUGCUAGAAAAAGAUCUGAAUUCUAAGAAUGUACCAGCAGUCAAAGACAGAGGAGUCAAAUAUAAACCAAGGCUUCACAAUCAUCUCAACAGAAAAAAAAAGAGCACAAAAACUGCACCAGGAUUCCUAUGCUCUUGAGAAGGAAGAGGAGUUCACAAGAAAACAAAGGGUGGGCAGGAUACUAGUACAAACUAAAAAUAAAUAAAGAAACUCAGUGACAAGAAAUGCUGAGAAUAUACAGAAUAUAGAAGGGAAGGGGGGAGAAAAAGUUUUUCUAAUGAGAUACACUGUUGCUUUCAAAUAGCUAUUCUGUUCAGUGUUCCAUGACCCUCUUGUGCCUCUUCUAAUAAACACCUACCUGAGCAAAAUAUUUCUGACUCUUUUUAUAUUGAAGAAUAGGGCUAGAAAUUCAAAAUACAGUGCUAUAAUUGAAGUAUUUCUAAAAUUGUGGUUUAGUAGUAGCAAAAGCUGAAACUACCCUGAAAAUCCUUCUAAACUAAAAUUGUGUUUUAUCCACCAAGUCAACAGAAUAUAUGUACACAUACACACAGAGGCAUAUUCCAUCUACCCAUAUUAAUUGGCUAUACAGAAAUCCAUUAAGUAAAAUAACAGAGGUUUUGUAGAAACCGUUUUAUACACAUUAUAAAUAUGUUAAAUGUCAAAUACUAUCACGGAUGAAUUUUUAGAGGAAGCUAGGUAAUGAAGGAGUUAGAGAACUAGGCUAGAGUCAGGAAGAUUUGAAUUCAAAUCUAGAAUCAAAUGGCCACAUGGAAAAAAAAAAGACCAGGAAAAGUCAAUUAACCUUUGUUUGCCUCAGUUUUCUUAACUAUAAAUCUGGGAUAACAAUAGCACCUACCUCACAAGAUUAAUGUGAUGAUCAAAUAAGAUAUCUGUAAAGUACAUAGCACAUAGCAGGUGCUAGACAAAUGCUUCUUCCCUUUCCUUCUGACUUUAUACUAGAUGAUUGCCCACAGGAUAUUAAGUUGGUCAUGAAGCGUUUAGAAAGCCCUUUACUAUAUGACAGUGUUGGGAAUCCAUAAGCUAAGCAGUGAGAAUACAAAAAAGGGGGGAACAAAAACAGUACCUACCUUCAGAGAGAGAGAGAAUAUGCAAGUUAUUAUGUCCAUUACAAAAUAUGUACAAUGUAAGUGGAAAGUUAUUUCAGAGGAAAGACAUAAUAGCCUUCCCAGAGGAGACUGGGAAAAGUCUGUUUAGUAAAACCUCAUGAAUGGUAUAGCUACAAAAUCUUCAAAGAAAAAUAUCCAGAUUAUAGGGAAAACACAACAUGCCUUAAUCUUUUAAGAGAAGUAAAGUCCAGAUGGGUAACCUGAGGUAUUAAAGAGGUCAAAUCAAAUUCUAAUCUCUUUAAAUAAAAUGGAAUAUUAACAAGAUGAUUAAUAUCUUUUUCACCAGAGGUAUCAAACAAAGGGUGGCCUCACAUUAAUCAAAUUAAAACAUAAUUGGGAAAAGUUUAAUAAAAGUACAAUCAAAUAUAGAUAUUAAUAUGUGGUUUUCUAAGUCAAUAUAAAGCCUGUAAGAAUCCUUAUAUAUGGCUGAAUAUCCCAUCCCUUUUUCUUUUUGAGUUUGACACAACCUCUUAAUGACAAGUUUCCAUUUUAGUUCUUUCACCUUAAAUAUUCCUAGUUCAACAUACUCUUAAAUUUGAAAAUUUGGGGCAGCUAAGUGGCUCAAAUGGAGAGCCAAGACAUUUAUACACAGGAGGUCCUGUGUAUAAACCUGGCCUCAGACAUUUCCCAGCUAUGUGACCCUGGGCAAGUUACUUAACCUUAAUUGCCUAACCUUUAUCACUUUUCUGUCUUGUAAUCGAUAUUGAGUAUCAGUUCUAAGACAGAAGGUAAGGGUUAAACCAAAAAAAGAAAUUGAACACUUAAAAUCCCUAUUGCAAAAAUGGAUUUUAUUGGUCAUUAUUUGCUAACAAAGCAACUUCUUAAGCAAGGAGAAAGGGACAUAUUUUCUUAAUCUUGUCAAUAGAAAUGAUAUCAUAUCCUUGCAUGCUAAAGAGAAAAAAUUCUGAGUCAAUUGAAAGCAGUAAGCCCACAACUCUGCAAUCUUCCCUCUGAAUGAAGUAUUGUACAUCACCACAGAAUCUAUCAUACAUGUACUUAAGUAAAGUACUUGGCUAGAUCUUUAAAUUUUUUUACCUCGGUGUUUUUACUAAUCAAUAAUCAGUCUAAUUGUCAGCUCUUAAGAGUCAGCAGGGUAGCAACAAUCUCAAAUUGUAUUUAUACAUUAGCCCUUUUUGACCUAGUUUUAUACUCUUGGCACUCCAGUGGCCCUUAAAGCAAUAUCCUGACUAUUCAGUCUAUAAAGCUAAAGAAUUCCUCACUGAAUGUGGAAGAUAACAAAAAAGGUAGCCUCUAGAGUUUCAAUGGCAUACGUAGCAGCAUACCUUCAUUUAAUUCGUCCCAUAAUGAAUGAACUGCAGAGAGUUGAAAGAGGAAAAAAAAAAGACCUCUAGAAUCACACUUACAUGAGAAGCUAUUUUUAAUCUACUCUCUAGGAAGAAGAGGCAGUAAACAUCUUGUUCCAUCUCAGAUGGGGGUGGAUUGCUGCCUUCAGCAAACUUCUAUUCAUGGUUACUAGAAGUACAAUGAGGAAUUACUAUGGAUUUUUGGGUACAAACAUCUACUUUAAGUGGAUUAUUUUGGCUGAUAAAGAAAAUAUAAAUUAGAGACCAGUUAGGAGCAGCUAGGUGGUACAGUGGAUAGAGUGUUAGGUGUGGAGACUCAUCUUCUUGAGUUUAAAUCUGGCCUUAGAUAUAUGCUAGUUGUGUGACCCUGGGCAAGUCACUUCACCCUGUUUGUGUCCAUUUUCUCAUCUGUAAAAUAAACAGGAAAAGGAAAUAGUACAUCACUCUAGGAUCUUUGCCAAGAAAAACCUCAAAUGGUGUCAUGAAGACUUGGAUAUGACUGAAAUGACUGAACAAAAACAAAAAAGGAAAAUAACUUUAGAGGAAAAGGCUUAAAGACGUGAGGGCUGUAGCAAGGCCCAGGAAAAGCCUCUUGCAAAAACAGGUCAAUUAAGGUGAGUAUUCAAGAAAGUCAGGAAUUCAUAGAAGCGAACAAGGGAAUGCAGUCCAAGUGUGGUGGAGAGUUAUUGUAAAGGCGUGGAGUUAGGUCAUGAAAAGAAUAGCAAGCAAAGCAGUAUAGC